rnacentral:rRNA from 1 species
AGGGUUCGAUUCUGGCUCAGGAUGAACGCUGGCGGCAUGCCUAAUACAUGCAAGUCGAACGAAGUCUUCAGGAAGCUUGCUUCCAAAAAGACUUAGUGGCGAACGGGUGAGUAACACGUAGGUAACCUGCCCAUGUGUCCGGGAUAACUGCUGGAAACGGUAGCUAAAACCGGAUAGGUAUACGGAGCGCAUGCUCUGUAUAUUAAAGCGCCCAUCAAGGCGUGAACAUGGAUGGACCUGCGGCGCAUUAGCUAGUUGGUGAGGUAACGGCCCACCAAGGCGAUGAUGCGUAGCCGGCCUGAGAGGGUAAACGGCCACAUUGGGACUGAGACACGGCCCAA